AGAGUUUGAUCCUGGCUCAGGACGAACGCUGGCGGCGCGCCUAACACAUGCAAGUCGAACGAGCGAGAGAGAGCUUGCUUUCUCGAGCGAGUGGCGAACGGGUGAGUAACGCGUGAGGAACCUGCCUCAAAGAGGGGGACAACAGUUGGAAACGACUGCUAAUACCGCAUAAGCCCACGGGUCGGCAUCGACCAGAGGGAAAAGGAGCAAUCCGCUUUGAGAUGGCCUCGCGUCCGAUUAGCUAGUUGGUGAGGUAACGGCCCACCAAGGCGACGAUCGGUAGCCGGACUGAGAGGUUGAACGGCCACAUUGGGACUGAGACACGGCCCAGACUCCUACGGGAGGCAGCAGUGGGGAAUAUUGCACAAUGGGGGAAACCCUGAUGCAGCGACGCCGCGUGGAGGAAGAAGGUCUUCGGAUUGUAAACUCCUGUUGUUGAGGAAGAUAAUGACGGUACUCAACAAGGAAGUGACGGCUAACUACGUGCCAGCAGCCGCGGUAAAACGUAGGUCACAAGCGUUGUCCGGAAUUACUGGGUGUAAAGGGAGCGCAGGCGGGAAGACAAGUUGGAAGUGAAAUCUAUGGGCUCAACCCAUAAACUGCUUUCAAAACUGUUUUUCUUGAGUAGUGCAGAGGUAGGCGGAAUUCCCGGUGUAGCGGUGGAAUGCGUAGAUAUCGGGAGGAACACCAGUGGCGAAGGCGGCCUACUGGGCACCAACUGACGCUGAGGCUCGAAAGUGUGGGUAGCAAACAGGAUUAGAUACCCUGGUAGUCCACACCGUAAACGAUGAUUACUAGGUGUUGGAGGAUUGACCCCUUCAGUGCCGCAGUUAACACAAUAAGUAAUCCACCUGGGGAGUACGACCGCAAGGUUGAAACUCAAAGGAAUUGACGGGGGCCCGCACAAGCAGUGGAGUAUGUGGUUUAAUUCGACGCAACGCGAAGAACCUUACCAAGUCUUGACAUCCCUUGACGAACAUAGAAAUAUGUUUUCUCUUCGGAGCAAGGAGACAGGUGGUGCAUGGUUGUCGUCAGCUCGUGUCGUGAGAUGUUGGGUUAAGUCCCGCAACGAGCGCAACCCUUACCAUUAGUUGCUACGCAAGAGCACUCUAAUGGGACUGCCGUUGACAAAACGGAGGAAGGUGGGGAUGACGUCAAAUCAUCAUGCCC
rnacentral:rRNA from 1 species